rnacentral:lncRNA from 10 species
GAAACAGAACAUUCUUCCUGUGUAUAAAACAUAAACAUCCAACUUGGUGAAUAGAGUGAGUAUCCAUGUAGCCACUUUCCAGGUCAGGAGGGGACAUUGCUUUGCCCCAGAGGGCCAUCCCCUGCCGCCCCGUCCUUCUCAGUGGCAAUGCUCUCCCACCUCUUGACAUAGUCACUGUCCUAUGGUCUCUAAGUGCUACAGAUGAGCUGUGCCUGCUUAUAAACGUGGUAUGAAUGGAUUUAUACUAUAAGUAUUCCUUUGGGUCUUGCCAGCCACCGGUUUUUAACCUCAGCUAUGGCAGCUGGUGGAAGCAACUCCAAUCUACCUUCUAGUCAACACCCAGAGUGAUGGCUCAAAAACGCAGAUCUGAUUCUGUCACCUCCACCCCAAUACCCAGUCCCUGCCUGAAACCCUUCGGGGCUCCCAAUACCCACAGGACAAAGAUCAGCCUCCUGCAUGCAGACAAUGAGGCCAGGUGUGAGCGCUUUCUACCUCCUCCUGGAGCCAGGCCCCACUGAGGUUCUCCUACUCCAAAUCCACCCCUGGCCCUGCCAUCUAUCGGCUCAGCCAGCCACUUCACUGUAUCGAUCUCAGUUUUCCUGUCUGUAAGCUGGAGCUUGGUUACCCUGUGUCAGAGCUGUAGAGGGCCCGGCAGCCACCAGGGGCUCCAUGCAUGGCGGGGGUGGUUGUGAUGAUUCCGCUUGCCCUGCCCUUCGGGCUUUCCUUCUUCACCCUGGUGAGGGUCUGCGCCAGCCUCAGGCUCCACCCAGGACUGAAUUAAAUUUGAGGAAGCUGCAGUGCCGUCCACAGCACAAGGAUGUGGGCCAGCUCCAUCCCCUGAUGGGGUCUCACUGUAUGACUACGGCACAGUUUGUUUAUUCAUCCUGCUGCUGCUGGACAUCUGGGCUGUUUCCCAUUUUUGGCAACUAUGAAUAAAGCUGCAAGAGACAUUCUCGUAUAUGUCUUUGGGUGGACAUAUGUGUUUGGUUUUAAGAAAGGAAAUACAAGAUCUUGAGGCAGAGUGGUGUAUGUUCUAUUCUAGGUUUUUAUACAAAUGUCAGAGUCUUAUUUAAAAGUGAAUGUUCUUUUACGGACCUUGCAAAACGCCAAAGCAAAA